GUGGGGAAUUUUUCGCAAUGGGGGAAACCCUGACGAAGCAACGCCGCGUGGGGGAUGAAGGUCUUCGGAUUGUAAACCCCUGUCGACCGGGACGAACACGCCCGACCCAAUACGUCGGAGCGUUGACUGUACCGGUGGAGGAAGCCACGGCUAACUCUGUGCCAGCAGCCGCGGUAAUACAGAGGUGGCAAGCGUUGUUCGGAAUUACUGGGCGUAAAGGGCGCGUAGGCGGCCCGAUAAGUCCCGCGUGAAAUCCCCCGGCUCAACCGGGGAACUGCGCGGGAAACUGUCGAGCUUGAGUUCGGGAGAGGGAAGCGGAAUUCCGGGUGUAGCGGUGAAAUGCGCAGAUAUCCGGAGGAACACCGGUGGCGAAGGCGGCUUCCUGGACCGACACUGACGCUGAGGCGCGAAAGCUAGGGGAGCAAACGGGAUUAGAAACCCUGGUAGUCC
rnacentral:rRNA from 1 species